rnacentral:rRNA from 2 species
GGGAUUGCCCUAGUAACGGCGAGUGAAGCGGCAACAGCUCAAAUUUGAAAUCUGGCUCUUUCAGAGUCCGAGUUGUAAUUUGCAGAGGGCGCUUUGGCUUUGGCAGCGGUCCAAGUUCCUUGGAACAGGACGUCACAGAGGGUGAGAAUCCCGUACGUGGUCGCUAGCUAUUGCCGUGUAAAGCCCCUUCGACGAGUCGAGUUGUUUGGGAAUGCAGCUCUAAAUGGGAGGUAAAUUUCUUCUAAAGCUAAAUAUUGGCCAGAGACCGAUAGCGCACAAGUAGAGUGAUCGAAAGAUGAAAAGCACUUUGGAAAGAGAGUCAAACAGCACGUGAAAUUGUUGAAAGGGAAGCGCUUGCAGCCAGACUUGCUUGCAGUUGCUCAUCCGGGCUUUUGCCCGGUGCACUCUUCUGCAGGCAGGCCAGCAUCAGUUUGGGCGGUGGGAUAAAGGUCUCUGUCACGUACCUCUCUUCGGGGAGGCCUUAUAGGGGAGACGACAUACCACCAGCCUGGACUGAGGUCCGCGCAUCUGCUAGGAUGCUGGCGUAAUGGCUGUAAGCGGCCCGUCUUGAAACACGGACCAAGGAGUCUAACAUCUAUGCGAGUGUUUGGGUGUCAAGCCCGAACGCGUAAUGAAAGUGAACGGAGGUGGGAACCCGCAAGGGCGCACCAUCGACCGAUCCUGAAGUUUACGGAAGGAUUUGAGUAAGAGCAUGGCUGUUGGGACCCGAAAGAUGGUGAACUAUGCUUGAAUAGGGUGAAGCCAGAGGAAACUCUGGUGGAGGCUCGCAGCGGUUCUGACGUGCAAAUCGAUCGUCAAAUUUGGGCAUAGGGGCGAAAGACUAAUCGAACUAUCUAGUAGCUGGUUCUGC